AUUGAACGCUGGCGGCAGGCCUAACACAUGCAAGUCGAGCGAGCGGCGGACGGGAGAGUAAUGACUGGGAAACUGCCUGAUGGAGGGGGAACAAUUCUGGAAACGGUAGCUAAUACCGCAUACCCUCAGAUGUGCCCAGAGGGGAUGAGAUGGGAGGUGGGGUAACGGCUCACCUAGGCGACGAUCCCUAGCUGGUCUGAGAGGAUGACCAGCCACACUGGAACUGAGACACGGUCCAGACUCCUACGGGAGGCAGCAGUGGGGAAUAUUGCACAAUGGGCGCAAGCCUGAUACAGCCAUGCCGCGUGUGUGAAGAAGGCCUUCGGGUUGUAAAGCACUGUCAGCGGGGAGGCGUUACCCGCAGAAGAAGCACCGGCUAACUCCGUGCCAGCCGCCGCGGUAAUAC
rnacentral:rRNA from 1 species